rnacentral:rRNA from 1 species
AUUGAACGCUGGCGGCAGGCCUAACACAUGCAAGUCGAACGGCAGCACAGAAGAGCUUGCUCUUUGGGUGGCGAGUGGCGGACGGGUGAGUAAUGUCUGGGAAACUGCCCGAUGGAGGGGGAUAACUACUGGAAACGGUAGCUAAUACCGCAUAACGUCGCGAGACCAAAGUGGGGGACCUUCGGGCCUCACACCAUCGGAUGUGCCCAGAUGGGAUUAGCUAGUAGGUGGGGUAAUGGCUCACCUAGGCGACGAUCCCUAGCUGGUCUGGGAGGAUGAGCAGCCACACUGGAACUGAGACACGGUCCAGACUCCGACGGGAGGGAGCAGUGGGGAAUAUUGCACAAUGGGCGCAAGCCUGAGGCAGCCAUGCCGCGUGUAUGAAGAAGGCCUUCGGGUUGUAAAGUACUUUCAGCGGGGAGGAAGGCGGUGAGGUUAAUAACCUCGCCGAUUGACGUUACCCGCAGAAGAAGCACCGGCUAACUCCGUGCCAGCCGCCGCGGUAA